CGCUGAAAUCAGGUGGGCAUGUGUGAACCGUGGGAAAAAACUCUCUUUCUGCAGAAAAUCUUCUCCCCUGACCUGAGCCUCCGCCGUCGCUCCUCCUCCCCAGCUCUCUAAUCUCACCGCAUCCCUCUUCUCCCUGCCCCGAGCCAUCGCUGCAACCCCUCCUCCUUCCUAGGUUUCUCCUUGACACCUCAUGACUCCCCGCCACCUCUUUCUAAGCGGCGAUGACCAGUGGGAUUGGAGGCGGCAGCUCGCGCGGUGGGGAAAGAGGACCGUGCUGGGAAGAAAUCUCGCGGCGGCCGACGGCCAGCUCAUAUGGUGGGGACGGAGGUCGCCGGAGAGGAGGUGAUUUGGGGGUGGCAUGUCGCCCUUCGAGCUGUGAUCUGCCGUGGCUCCAUUCGCAUCUCCGGAGACGGUGUGUGUUGCCUUCGCUAUGUAUUACUCCCUCCGUUCCAAUGUGGAUGUAUCUAUACUUGUUUAGUGUCUAAAUAUAUUCAUGUCUAGACAAAUGGGAGUCAACUAAUUUGGAACGGAGGGAGUACAAACGAUAGGUGGUUAAUUUUGCAGGAGUGCCUCGCUUCAUAUUGUGCGCUUGUGUGAUUUGGGGUACCGUUGGGGAGGGCUUCUUUCCUUCCAUUUUUAGGUUGCUGCCUUCUGUUCUACUCCCUCUGUUCCCAAAUGUAAGUCUUUUUAGAGAUUUCAACAAGGGACUAUAUACGGAGCAAAAUAAGUGAAUCUACACUUUAAAAUAUGUCUAUAUACAUCUGUACGUUGUGGUUCAUUUGAAAUCUCUAAAAAGACUUAUAUUUAGGAACGGAGGGAAUAUUAUUGUGGUCAUGUGUGUGUCGUGCUCUUUUCCAGGUUAGAUCGAUGGAACUAGCAAGGUCACACAUAGAGUUUGAAAUCAGGGGCAAAUGACUACCACUUGUAAUUGGUUCUUGGUCUAAUUAGUACAUACUCCCUCCGUUUCUAAAUAUUUGUCUUUCUAGAGAUGUCAAAUGGACUACCACAUACGAAUGUAUAUAGACAUAUUUUAGAGUGUGGAUUCAUUCAUUUUGCUCCGUAUGUAAUCACUGAUUGAAAUCUCUAGAAAGACAAAUAUUUAGGAACGGAGGAAGUACAUUUUAUUUGAGGAAAAGAGUUUGCUAGGUUGCCUCUAGCAUUCCUUUGUCAUGCAUGCAUAUUAUUUCUUGCAACAAUAGUUGACCAUUUUGGUGAUAGUUUUCUGUGAGCAAGGUAGAAUGUUUGUGUCUCCUAAUGUUCAUGAUGUGUCUGAAUUUCCAGUGGCAUAUGCAUGCACAUCAAGUAUCGAUGAGAAAAGUUAGUCUGAUUAGUGGCGGAGCCAGCUCGGCCGGCGAGCCGGGGCAAAGUACACAGGGCUGCUGUCUAUCAGUUGUUUGCCCCUAUAAUAUGAUGAUUAGCUCUCCAUUUACUGCUAUUAUUCAAACUAGAGUGCAUGGCUGAGCCCGGGCAGCUGCCCCGGGUAGCCCGGGCAGAGUGCAUUACUCCAUACAAAGAAAUGAUGAGAUUUACAGUGUGAAGUUACGAAAAUGUUGUAACCACCACCAAUUUUACAGUAAUAGUAUGUUACUCAAGGUCAUAAUGUCCAUAAACGCUAUAAAAUCUGGAGCUACAUUAUCCAGCUUUUUGUUUGGAUAUUAUACAGUUAAGAUAUGUGUUCUUAACUGUAUUUUUACCAUUUUGGACCAAUCAAUGUACAGUAUAUAUGGAAUGCAAAUGCCGAAGAGACAAUAAGGGUUUAGGCUUAUGUAGAUUUCUUGAACUUACUACUACUACACUCACUCAUUUCUUUUCUAUAGGAAUGAGAUAAUUUUCAUUAGUGGUCAAUUAAAGGUACAUAUUUAAUAAUGUAUUAGUACUUACUAAUCUGACAAAGAUAAGCUAGCACAACAUUUAUAAUUUAGUUUAGAGUUAUUGAUUGCUUUUUGAUGGGGCCAUCUGAUGAUUAAUUAACCACCUGAAUUGCACUCACCAUUUGUUUAUCAUUUUGUUUUUCUGGUUUAUUCUUAUAAUGUUGUUUUAUUUUUCCAGCCUAUUCUCAUAAAUUGGUCUGCGUGACAUGUUUACUUCCACAUGAUCCGCGGGUAGCCACACGUUCAUAUUACGGAUAUUUCUCUCAUCUGGUUUCAUUCUUGUGGAGGUAGUGUUGCUAAUUAAGCAAGUACGCCAUACAAUGCCGCUUGGUGCAGUAAUUCAUGUGAGCCCCUGCGAAGCAUGUGAUAUAUCCUCUCUGGCUGAUUCAAUUUUAGGACACGUUUUAUUAUCAAUGAUUUUUGUUGGGUUUACAUAUUAUUUGAUAACAAAAUCCACUCACCGAAAACAAAACAACGGUUGGUGUACUACGUUUUGCAGCUCACCUGGUACAUGUAUCUACAUUAUUUUCUAGGCUACAUUUCCCAUGGUCUUCCUCUUCACAUCAGAAAAGAUAAGCAUAAUUUCUUGUGUUGUGAGAAUAUGGAUGGUAGAUCCUCAAAAACAGGUACAAAGCUAUCCAUCUCCAUGUAGUAGAAUUGGUUGCAGCUCACCUGCCUAAUGCCUAAUGUAAUGGAAGUCCUUUAUUUUCUCGAAUUGUAACACUGGGAAGACAUAUGAUAGGGGGGAUAUCCAAUUCUGAGCCCAGGCUUAGCUGCUCCUGAAAUCAUAGCCGU
rnacentral:rRNA from 1 species